rnacentral:rRNA from 1 species
GGAGUUAGCCGGUGCUUCUUCUGUGAGUGAUGUCCUUCCUGCCGGCUAUUAACCCGCAGGCCUUCUUCCUCACUGAAAGUGCUUUACAACCCGAAGGCCUUCUUCACACACGCGGCAUGGCUGGAUCAGGGUUGCCCCCAUUGUCCAAUAUUCCCCACUUCUGCCUCCCGUAGGAGUCUGGGCCGUGUCUCAGUCCCAGUGUGGCUGAUCAUCCUCUCAGACCAGCUACGGAUCGUCGCCUUGGUGAGCCGUUACCUCACCAACCAGCUAAUCCGACAUAGGCUCAUCCGAUAGCGCGAGGCCCGAAGGUCCCCCGCUUUCCCCCGUAGGGCGUAUGCGGUAUUAGCCUGGGUUUCCCCAGGUUAUCCCCCACUACCGGGCAGAUUCCUAUGCAUUACUCACCCGUCCGCCGCUCGCCACCAGGGAGCAAGCUCCCCGUGCUGCCGCUCGACUUGCAUGUGUUAGGCCUGCCGCCAGCGUUCAAUCUGAGCCAGAAUCAAACUCUGA